rnacentral:misc_RNA from 1 species
UCCUGCCAUUCACUUCUCGAGAUGAUGUUGACUUCUUUUCACACUUAGAGAUGCAUUUGAGGCAGGACCACCCACCAUUGUGUGGAAGAGACCAUAUGGCAUAUAGAUCUGCGUAUUUUCCAGUUAAGGAUGUNCCAGUUAAGGAUGUGAUCGAUGGGGAUUUAUGUGAGCAGUUCCCAACACUUCCUCUUGAUAUGCAGAGAAAAAUUGCUGAUGAAUUGGAUAGAACUCCUGGGGAGAUACUGAAGAAACUUGAAGAAGUUCGAAAUAAAAUAAUUUAAGGUGUUUUAGUAAUGGAGUUCAUCAGGAUCAAUAUCAGUGGCAGACUGAGGUGAAAUGUGCUUUGGAAUAGUCUAGGAAAUGCAGACGUUAUAUUAGACAGUGGCAGACCUUAAUGCAAAAGAGUCGCCUUGUGUAUUUUAUUGGUGAAAAAAGCAACCUGGAAGUUUUUAUGGUUGAAGAAACAGAAGUGAAUGUUAGAACCUCUGAGGCGUCCCUUUCUGUAGAUGUAUUGUCGUUUGUGAAUGCAAAUGUCUUAGAUCUAUUGCUUUACAUUGCAUCUAUGAAAAUGGGCAACACUUGUUAAGAGGAUAUUGUAAGUAGCCUAGAUAGUUGAGCUGUUUCUUCUAUGAAAAUGAGAAGAAAUCUGUAUGAUUAUUAAUUUUGAUUCUUGCUGAGCGCGU